rnacentral:lncRNA from 1 species
UUGUGGUGCGUAUUGUGGAGGAUAGCCCUGGGGCGGAUAGCCUUGUUGUGGGUAACCUUGCUGCGGCGGGUAGCCCGCCGGCGGAUAGGCAUCCUUCGGGUAUCCUUCCGGUGGAUAACCUAAAGAUUCAUAACAAGAAAACCCAAAAUCACAUUAGAUCAAUAAAGUCAACUAACAAAAAAAAAUAAAAAAUUGAAUGAAAUUCUUGCGACUUGCCUUGAGGAGGAGGAACUCCAACAGGGGGUUGAUUCUGAUUGUAGUAACUCAUGAUUUCCUAGUAUUGAAUUUGUGUUGCGAAGACAGUUUAGAUUUCUGGAUUUUG